AUGGAAAGAUGAAAAGAACUUUGAAAAGAGAGUGAAAAAGUACGUGAAAUUGUUGAAAGGGAAGGGCUUGAGAUCAGACUUGGUAUUUUGUAUGUUACUUCUUCGGGGGUGGCCUCUACAGUUUAUCGGGCCAGCAUCAGUUUGGGCGGUAGGAGAAUUGCGUUGGAAUGUGGCACGGCUUCGGUUGUGUGUUAUAGCCUUCGUCGAUACUGCCAGCCUAGACUGAGGACUGCGGUUUAUACCUAGGAUGUUGGCAUAAUGAUCUUAAGUCGCCCGUCUUGAAACACGGACCAAGGAGUCUAACGUCUAUGCGAGUGUUUGGGUGUAAAACCCGUACGCGUAAUGAAAGUGAACGUAGGUGGGGGCCCGUAUGGGUGCACCAUCGACCGAUCCUGAUGUCUUCGGAUGGAUUUGAGUAAGAGCAUAGCUGUUGGGACCCGAAAGAUGGUGAACUAUGCCUGAAUAGGGUGAAGCCAGAGGAAACUCUGGUGGAGGCUCGUAGCGGUUCUGACGUGCAAAUCGAUCGUCGAAUUUGGG
rnacentral:rRNA from 1 species